CGGUUCUCCUGUCGCAGGCUGGAUCUCACUUCUCUUGUUUGAUAUCUCCUCGCUCCACGGCUGAACCAGAAGUUGUUCUGGCCCUCCUUCGUGAAGGCCGUCUCAAAGCUCUUAUUCCUGCCCCGAGGAGCGAGGAUGGAGGAGGGAUCUCUGAGGGAGCUACGAGCGAGGAUACAAAUUCACGUGACGCAUUCAGAGGUGCUGCCGGCUGCGCGGGGAGAAGAUGAAAAAAAAAGGAUGUUCUCGUGUGUAGCGUGCGCCCUUUGGCAUGUCCAUACACUUGUAGGCGUUGCACAGCGUGAGCACGUCUGCAUGUUACUCCUCUGCGACUGUUAGUGGGUCCGCAUGUGACUGCCUCCGCUGGGUCCCAGCGGGGGGGCUGCGGGUGGCCCCGCCCACCCCAGGCCGGUUCCAGCCAAUCAGGUGCUAAUGUGCGGGAACAGGAGAGGGCUGCGCUGACAGAUGGCCGGCUGACCUGGAAAACCUGCCCCCCUUUUCAGGGUUCAGCAGUCGGCAGAUGACAGAGAGGUCAGAAGUCAGGGCCACAGCUUCACAUCGCACACAAGUAAUGGAGUGAAAAACCUGCUGU